AACGAACGCUGGCGGCAUGCCUAACACAUGCAAGUCGAACGAGACCUUCGGGUCUAGUGGCGCACGGGUGCGUAACGCGUGGGAACCUGCCCUUAGGUUCGGAAUAACUCCACGAAAGGGGUGCUAAUACCGGAUAAUGUCUUCGGACCAAAGAUUUAUCGCCUUUGGAUGGGCCCGCGUUGGAUUAGCUAGUUGGUAGGGUAAAAGCCUACCAAGGCGCCGAUCCAUAGCUGGUCUGAGAGGAUGAUCAGCCACACUGGGACUGAGACACGGCCCAGACUCCUACGGGAGGCAGCAGUGGGGAAUAUUGGACAAUGGGCUAAAGCCUGAUCCAGCAAUGCCGCGUGAGUGAUGAAGGCCUUAGGGUUGUAAAGCUCUUUUACCCGGGAUGAUAAUGACAGUACCGGGAGAAUAAGCUCCGGCUAACUCCGUG
rnacentral:rRNA from 1 species